AACAGGAUUAAAGAAGAAGAAGAAGCAGCAGCUGCGGAUUCUGAACAGAGCUCUCUUGCCGUGCCUGAUUGGACGGCUUCCUGAUUGAACCGCUUCCUGGUUGGACGGCGUCACCAUGUCAUCAAACAUCCACGUCUCCCCUGACAACCCGUACGGUCAGGUGACCAUCCCCCGGGCCAAGCUCCGCCUCACCGAUGACGCCGGCAUGGUGAUAGCCAAUCCGGGGGCUCUGAGCAGCAACGACUUGAACCCAUACGUGUCAAGCUCCUCCCCCCCGCCGUACGUGGUGAAGGAGGCUGGCGGGGAGGAGGUGGGGGGGCGGUGCCCCGCCUGCUGCUACCGCUGCCGAAGGAGGAAGUGAUGUCGCAGCAGCAGGAGCAAGUGACGUCACAGCAGCAAGAGCAAGUGACGUCACAGCAGCAAGAGGAUUGUGAUUGGCUUCAUUUACCAAAGAAGAAACGGUGCUUUCCAUUAUGCUAACGUUUCUCCUCGAGUCCUAGCGCCUCCCAGCGAGGAUGUGAGGAAGAGGAAGGGAGGACGAAGGAGCCGUAAUCCUUGUUUCUGUAGCGCGUGUGGAGCUGUGGCGUUUAUACAUGACCUCCGUGAAGGACACACCUGUGCUUCCUCGCCCUUAGCUCCUCCUCAUCGAUUGGAGGAUCCUCGAUGGCGGCGGCGGGUCACGUGAUGAAGUUAAAGUUAGCGUAAUGAAAAGCAUCCACGCAGGAA